UAUAAUGGUUUGACUCUUCGUCUUAUUUGAAAUUUUUUUGCGAUUAAUAUUUGUAUUGUUACUAGAUGAUAAAAUAUGAACAAUACUCUAUGCGUGACUAAUUUUUUAAAGUUUUUUAUAAUUUUUCAAAUAAAACGAAUGGUUAAACGUUAGACAUAGAAAAACA
rnacentral:pre_miRNA from 1 species